AUUGAACGCUCGCGGCAGGCCUAACACAUGCAAGUCGAACGAGUGGCGGACGGGUGAGUAAUGUCUGGGAAACUGCCUGAUGGAGGGGGAUAACUACUGGAAACGGUAGCUAAUACCGCAUACCAUCGGAUGUGCCCACAUGGGAUUAGCUAGUCGGUGGGGUAACGGAUCACCUAGGCGACGAUCCCUAGCUGGUCUGAGAGGAUGACCAGACACACUGGAACGUAGACACGGUCCAGACUCCGACGGGAGGCAUCAGUAGGGAAUAUUGCACAAUGGGCGGAAGCCUGAUGCAGCCAUGCCGCGUGUAUGAAGAAGGCCUUCGGGUUGUAAAGUACUUUCAGCGGGGAGGCGUUGCCCGGAGGAGAAGCACCGGCUAACUCCGUGCCAGCAGCCGCGGUAAUUC
rnacentral:rRNA from 1 species